AGCGAACGUUUGCGGCGGGCCUAACACAUGCAAGUCGAACGCACUAGCAAUAGUGAGUGGCGCACGGGUGCGUAACACGUGGGUAAUCAACCCUUCAGCUUGGGAUAACGACUUGAAAGGGUCGCUAAUACCGGAUACGGCGCGAGAGGCUUCGGCUUCUCACGAGAAAGCCUCGCAAGGGGCACUGAAGGACGAGCCUGCGGCCCAUCAGCUAGUUGGUGAGGUAAGAGCUCACCAAGGCUAAGACGGGUAGCUGGUCUGAGAGGAUGACCAGCCACACUGGAACUGAGACACGGUCCAGACUCCUACGGGAGGCAGCAGUGGGGAAUCUUGCGCAAUGGGCGAAAGCCUGACGCAGCGACGCCGCGUGAGUGAUGAAGGCCUCGGUUGUAAGACCUCGUGGGAGGAACGGAACCGUAC
rnacentral:rRNA from 1 species